rnacentral:rRNA from 1 species
CAGCAGUAGCUACGGUAAUACGUAGGGUGCGAGCGUUAAUCGGAAUUACUGGGCGUAAAGCGUGCGCAGGCGGUUAUAUAAGACAGAUGUGAAAUCCCCGGGCUCAACCUGGGACCUGCAUUUGUGACUGUAUAGCUGGAGUACGGUAGAGGGGGAUGGAAUUCCGCGUGUAGCAGUGAAAUGCGUAGAUAUGCGGAGGAACACCGAUGGCGAAGGCAAUCCCCCGGACCUGUACUGACGCUCAUGCACGAAAGCGUGGGGAGCAAACAGGAUUAGAUACCCCCGUAGUCCCUGUCUCUUAUCC